CUUUAGCGCGGUGGUCCCACCUGACCCCAUGCCGAACUCAGAAGUGAAACGCCGUAGCGCCGAUGGUAGUGUGGGGUCUCCCCAUGCGAGAGUAGGGAACUGCCAGGC
rnacentral:rRNA from 2 species